rnacentral:rRNA from 1 species
AGAGUAUGCCUSCCUGAGCGUCAGUGUGUACCCYCACCCCCAMUUAAUUUUGGGAUGGAAAUGGACGUCCGAUCGGAACCUSCGAAGGUUUCGAUGGGUCGGCUGAAAGGCAGUCCGCGGUGCGMCCGAUCGCACGAUCAGCGUGAUAGACCUAUUCUUAGGACGGAUCGCUCGGYCAGAUCGGUAACACUUCGAUCCGAAUACUGGUGCGUGUCUCGACUCCGCGGGCCCUCGCGGCUGGUGGAAUAAGAGCCGUGCCAUCUCACCUUUUGACCUCAGUUCAGACAAGGCUACCCGCCGAAUUUAAGCAUAUUACUAAGCGGAGGAAAAGAAAAUAACAAUGAUUCCCCUAGUAACGGCGAGCGAACCGGGAAGAGCCCAACUUGAAAAUCUGGAGGCUUGUCCUUCCGAAUUGUAGUCUAGAGAAGUGCCAUCUGCGGCUGGCUGGUCGAAAGUUCCCUGGAAAGGGACGUCAGAGAGGGUGAGAGCCCCGUCACGAUCGGUUAAGUCGCUCCACGAUGCGCUUUCGAGGAGUCGGGUUGUUUGGGAAUGCAGCCCUAAGCGGGAGGUAAAUUCCUUCUAAGGCUAAAUAUUGGCGAGAGACCGAUAGCGAMCAAGUACCGCGAGGGAAAGAUGAAAAGMCCUUUGAAAAGAGAGUUAAAAAGUMCCUGAAAUUGUUGAGGGGGAAGCGAUUGAAACCAGCGGGUGCUCCUCGGGUAGGGUCAAACCACACGCCGAGGGCUGGUCAACGUGGGUUAGUCGGGCGGGAUAUUACGCUUGAUUGACCGAGGACUCGACGUUGGCGGAAUGGUUUCAAUCGG